AGAAGGGAGCUUUGAAGGAUGAUAUGAGAGUAAAAUGCUUGAGAGUUCUGAAGGUGUAAAGGAAAAAAUGAAGGAUUUUGAGUAUUUUAGGGGUUUUGGGAGAAGACCAAUCGUUUGAUUUUGAAAAGAAAGGGUAAGACUAGUCAAACAGUUUUACAAUCAUCAUGGGUAUUCAGGGGAUCCAGGUGAAGGGACCGAAGAACUCGUGGAUUAAGGCGACGUGGUGACAUGUGGCGGUAAGUUUUUUAUGAUGAAGGGACAGUUCAAUGACCUAACAGUUUGUAAUUCAAGAUAGUGCAGUUAUGCGUAACGGCAGGGUUAAUAAUGAAAAGAUCGUUUGGCGUCUGCACGUUAUAAAAGUCAUCAUU
rnacentral:lncRNA from 1 species